GGGCAUUGGGGGUCUAUAAUGCAGUCGAGCGAAUGGAUUAAGAGCUUGCUCUUAUGAAGUUAGCGGCGGACGGGUGAGUAACACGUGGGUAACCUGCCCAUAAGACUGGGAUAACUCCGGGAAACCGGGGCAAAUACCGGAUAACAUUUUGAACCGCAUGGUUCGAAAUUGAAAGGCGGCUUCGGCUGUCACUUAUGGAUGGACCCGCGUCGCAUUAGCUAGUUGGUGAGGUAACGGCUCACCAAGGCAACGAUGCGUAGCCGACCUGAGAGGGUGAUCGGCCACACUGGGACUGAAACACGGCCCAGACUCCUACGGGAGGCAGCAGUAGGGAAUCUUCCGCAAUGGACGAAAGUCUGACGGAGCAACGCCGCGUGAGUGAUGAAGGCUUUCGGGUCGUAAAACUCUGUUGUUAGGGAAGAACAAGUGCUAGUUGAAUAAGCUGGCACCUUGACGAUACGUAACCAGAAGGCCACGGAUAACUACGUGACAACGGGGGCGGUAAUGCGUGGGGGGGGGGGGGGUUGGGGGGGGUUAUUGGGGAUGGGGAGG
rnacentral:rRNA from 1 species